UGGUAGCUGUCUAACUCUCUCUCUCCCUCAGGCUGGAAUUGUAUGAUUGUGAAGACAUCGCGAACCUUAAAGGUUGAGAAGUGAACAGAUUAUACGGCGAACUGAGACGACGUGAAAAAGGGGAUUGGAAGUGGCAUUGAUGUGAGUACUAAGAGCCAGUCGAAAGUGCCCUGUAUAUUGACCUGGCGUUGUGUAGAUCUCUCCAGGAGGAGGAGGGUGGCCCUACCCCUAAUAUAGUGUGGUGGGAGAGCCGAAGGAAUACUUAUUGAAGUAGUCGCAACGACGACAUCACUAGCUAGGCCGCAUAUUCCAUCGCCAGAUCCGAACCAAGCGAAGUGAAGGAAGACGGGUGUCCUUUCCGUACACUGAGUGUGGUGGGUGAGUCUUCGUGCUGUGAAAACCUAUAAUUUUGACGUGGUGUUGUAUAUUGCUGUGGGCUGCUGUGUAUUGCCGUGUGUCCUGUCAGAUAAACCCCCGCCUUCACGCACUUCGGCGUGGGAGGACAAGGAGAUUGCUGGUUCUAGCCUAGUUCAGUACAGUAUAUGUUGUGAGCGUGCUUCAGAUCUCCGGAGAUAGCACGGUACGCUGUGUCCAGCCCAGAGGUGAGAGCCAUUCAAAGCAAACUAACUGUGCUAUUGUGCCCAAGUUGAUACCUGUGGAGAGAAAAGGAGAGAGAGAGUGAAUAACACGAGGAGGAAUAGAGCGAACCCUGUACUUACAGUACGCUGUGUCCAGCCCAGAGGUGAGAGCCAUUCAAAGCAAACUAACUGUGCUAUUGUGCCCAAGUUGAUACCUGUGGAGAGAAAAGGAGAGAGAGUGGGUAACACGAGGAGAGACUGAGGAAACCUGUACUUACGCCGCUGCCUGUGGAGAAAGAGAAAGCGACCGUUGCCUGUGGAGGAAGAGAAAGAGAGUGGGCACCUCGAGAACGAACUGUGUGAACCAGUACUUACCGUGAGCUGUAUUCAGCGAAGAGGAGGAAGAAG